UACGUAGGGCGCAAGCGUUGUCCGGAAUUAUUGGGCGUAAAGAGCUCGUAGGCGGCUUGUCACGUCGGGUGUGAAAACCCGGGGCUCAACUCCGGGCUUGCAUUCGAUACGGGCAGACUAGAGUUCGGUAGGGGAGACUGGAAUUCCUGGUGUAGCGGUGAAAUGCGCAGAUAUUAGGAGGAACACCGGUGGCGAAGGCGGGUCUCUGGGCCGAUACUGACGCUGAGGAGCGAAAGCGUGGGGAGCAAACAGG
rnacentral:rRNA from 1 species